rnacentral:rRNA from 1 species
GACGAACGCUGGCGGCGUGCUUAACACAUGCAAGUCGAACGGAAAGGCCCUGCUUUUGUGGGGUGCUCGAGUGGCGAACGGGUGAGUAACACGUGAGUAACCUGCCCUUGACUUUGGGAUAACUUCAGGAAACUGGGGUUAUACCGGAAAGGGGGCUCUUGCGCAUGGUGGGGGGUGGGAAGGUUCGGCGGUUGGGGAUGGACUCGCGGCUUAUCGGCUUGUUGGUGGGGUAGUGGCUUACCAAGGCUUUGACGGGUAGCCGGCCUGAGAGGGUGACCGGCCACAUUGGGACUGAGAUACGGCCCAGACUCCUACGGGAGGCAGCAGUGGGGAAUAUUGCACAAUGGGCGGAAGCCUGAUGCAGCAACGCCGCGUGCGGGAUGACGGCCUUCGGGUUGUAAACCGCUUUCGCCUGUGACGAAGCGUGAGUGACGGUAAUGGGUAAAGAAGCACCGGCUAACUACGUG